GCCCACUUCCAGUGGAUCAUUCCUGGUGCCAGGCUCCCUCACAUCCUGCCGGUCCUACAGCUUUUAUCACCUAUUAGUCUCCUGCCAGUGCUACAGCUCUUAUUUUGCCAAGAAGGUCACCACUGCAAUUCAGCUCCUUUGAAAUGUACCUUGGAAAAUACAGCUGACAGUUUACAUGUGUGGGCCAAGAAGAUGCUUUCCACCAGGCAGUCUUUCAAGGCACUGUGGAAAAUGGCAGUGUGGACCAAUGGACUUUGACUUAGGACACCUCGAUUCUAUUCCUGGCUCUGCCAUUAACAUAUUAUGUGAUCUCUCCAUGCCACGCUUCCACCUGUUCUUUGUCGUGUCUAUUUAGACUGUGAACUCUCAGUGGGCAGAGAUUGGCUCUUAUUAGGUGUAUACAGUGCCUGGCACUGCUACAGUGAUAGAAAUAAAUAUAUAUAUUUUGAAUCUUGGGAUCCCUCUGGGACUCAGAGCCCCAUGGGAAGGGAAUUCCUUGCAUUGCCAAUGGACAAACCUUUCCUUCUCCCCUCCAACUGAAAUCCCUACCCUAUCCACCACAAAUGUCACCCAUCCAGCUAGCAAAGGAGUAUCACUUCUGAUUUCUGGAGGGAACUGGGUCAAGUUCUCUGUGCCUACAGGAAAGUCACCAUAGCAUGAUGCCAUUGAGAGAAUGGGGGAAUAAAGGUGAAAAACCUGGGGAGGAUUUCUUCAUGAGACAAGAAGGUCGAAAUGAGGAAUGAAGACUUGUAAAGAGCUUUGGAGAGGAGCAGUGGUGAAGGAUUUAAGGUAAAGAAGAAGAAUAUAAGAGCAGGGAAGUACCCAGAAGUUCAGCCUUGCGCAUAGCAUCCAUUAUAGAAGUAGAAUAGCUCAAGAGGGAGGACCUAACUACAGGAAGAGGAAGUGAAUCUGAAAUCAUUCACAAAUCAUUUCCCUUCACCAAGGACUGCUUGCAAAGCAGUGUCAGCUAGUGAAAGUGCAAGUCAUGGUGCAAAACUGACCAGCAACAUCGAGAUAGGUAAGCAAUGUCUGACUAUAUGGGAGUGAAAGAGCUUUACAUAAUGUUAGCAGGUUUUUAUUCAUUUCAAGCUAGUGACAGACCACAAAUCCCUGUGACAACUAAUAAAGAAUAAGGUGCCUCUUAGAAGACAGAGAAGGCUCAUAUGUUGAAUAAGAUUUAUACAUACUAGACAGUAUACGAUGCCUAAUCAAGACCUGUACACCAUCCAGGUCCUCUAGUUGCUCAGGAAGAAAGAGAAGCAUAUGUGGGUGCGGUUGUGGGUGACUUGUAAGCCUUGCCAUGGAA